ACGAACGCUGGCGGCGUGCUUAACACAUGCAAGUCGAACGGAAGGGCCCUGCUUUUGUGGGGUGCUCGAGUGGCGAACGGGUGAGUAGCACGUGAGUAACCUGCCCUUGACUUUGGGAUAACUUCAGGAAACUGGGGCUAAUACCGGAUAGGAGCUCCUGCUGCAUGGUGGGGGUUGGAAAGUUUCGGCGGUUGGGGAUGGACUCGCGGCUUAUCAGCUUGUUGGUGGGGUAGUGGCUUACCAAGGCUUUGACGGGUAGCCGGCCUGAGAGGGUGACCGGCCACAUUGGGACUGAGAUACGGCCCAGACUUCUACGGGAGGCAGCAGUGGGGAAUAUUGCACAAUGGGCGGAAGCCUGAUGCAGCAACGCCGCGUGCGGGAUGACGGCCUUCGGGUUGUAAACCGCUUUCGCCUGUGACGAAGCGUGAGUGACGGUAAUGGGUAAAGAAGCACCGGCUAACUACGUG
rnacentral:rRNA from 1 species